AAACUUAAAUAUUUAGGUUCUAUGCUAUAGGCGCACUUUAGUAAAUAUAUAAUUUUGGUUAAGACGUUUUCUAUUAUUUACUAGUAUCUUGUUAAUUUAGAAAAUUAUGACGCUUUAAAAAUUAGCAAUAGUUUUGUGUGAAUAGAUGGCCCAAUAGAGUGCCAGCAGGCGUGGUUAGACUGAACAUCUACUAUAGCUCAUUUUGUAUGUUGAUUUAACUUUUAAGUGUAGAAAUACUGGUAAAAUAGGCAUUUCUUCAAAUUAGGUUAAUUAAUAUGAGUCACUUUAAAGACAAGGAUUAGAUACCCUUUUAUGUGUGAUGAUAAACAAAAAGAUAAUUUAAUUAAAAAUUCAAACAAUUUGGCGGUGAGAAAAGAACUUAGGGAAACCUGGGGAUUAAUUGGAUGAUCCACCAUUAUUAUGUCUUAGUAUGUAUGUUACCUGUAUGUCUGUUUAGAUUAUCGUUAGAUCUUUAGUCUUUUGUUUUUACAAAACUUGAGUUCAGGUCGAUAUAGGGAUAGUUACUAAGGUCUUCUGGGUUGCAUUUAAGAUUAUUGAUAGUUUUUAUAUUACAAAACUUAAUCUGGACUUAAAAGUAAACUUUUAUGUACAUAAGUUGAAUUUUGCUUUUCUUAAGUACAAAUCGCCCGUCGCCUCUGUUACAAAAAAAACUGAGUAAGUCGAAACAAAGUAGGUUGGCUGGGAGGGUAACCUGUAAG
rnacentral:ncRNA from 1 species